AUGAACGCUGGCGGCGUGCCUAAUACAUGCAAGUCGAGCGAACGAACGAGAAGCUUGCUUCUCUGAUGUUAGCGGCGGACGGGUGAGUAACACGUGGAUAACCUACCUAUAAGACUGGGAUAACUUCGGGAAACCGGAGCUAAUACCGGAUAAUAUUUUGAACCGCAUGGUUCAAAAGUGAAAGACGGUCUUGCUGUCACUUAUAGAUGGAUCCGCGCUGCAUUAGCUAGUUGGUAAGGUAACGGCUUACCAAGGCAACGAUGCAUAGCCGACCUGAGAGGGUGAUCGGCCACACUGGAACUGAGACACGGUCCAGACUCCUACGGGAGGCAGCAGUAGGGAAUCUUCCGCAAUGGGCGAAAGCCUGACGGAGCAACGCCGCGUGAGUGAUGAAGGUCUUCGGAUCGUAAAACUCUGUUAUUAGGGAAGAACAUAUGUGUAAGUAACUGUGCACAUCUUGACGGUACCUAAUCAGAAAGCCACGGCUAACUACGUGC
rnacentral:rRNA from 1 species